GAAUAUUGCACAAUGGGGGAAACCCUGAUGCAGCGACGCCGCGUGAGUGAAGAAGUAUUUCGGUAUGUAAAGCUCUAUCAGCAGGGAAGAAAAUGACGGUACCUGACUAAGAAGCCCCGGCUAACUACGUGCCAGCAGCCGCGGUAAUACGUAGGGGGCAAGCGUUAGCAGGAUUUACGGGGUGUAACGGGCGCGUAGGUGGGUCGGUAAGUCAGAUGUGAAAACCCGGGGCUCAACCCCGGGACUGCAUUUGAAACUAUCGAACUAGGGUGUAGGAGAGGUAAGUGGAAUUCCUAGUGUAGCGGUGAAAUGCGUAGAUAUUAGGAGGAACACCAGUGGCGAAGGCGGCUUACUGGACUAUAACUGACACUGAGGCUCGAAAGCGGGGGGAGCAAACA
rnacentral:rRNA from 1 species